UUGAAAGGGAAACGAUUGAAGUCAGUCGUACCAGCGGGAAAUCAACCUUUCGAGUGGGGGUUUUGGAGUUUUUUGAAGAGUGUCAAAACCUUUGAGAUUUCAAAAUAUUCGCUCUUUUGGUGUACUUUCUCGUGGGUAGGUUAACAUCGAUUUUGAUCAUCAUAAAAAGAUUGGAGGAAUGUAGCUUCGAUCUUGUAUUGAAGUGUUAUAGCCUUUGGUAAAUGUGAUGAUUAGGAUCGAGGAUUGCAACGAAUACCCUUUUGGGCUAUCCGCCUGAUCUCUGAUACGUGGCCUUGGUAUCGAAAGCUUGCUUAUGGUAUUAAGGUAUUACGGUCAAAAGGUUAGAACGGAUUACAUUCGUUAAGGAUGUUGACGUA
rnacentral:rRNA from 1 species